ACAGGCGUAGGCGAUGGAUAACAGGUUGAUAUUCCUGUACCACCUAUAAUCGUUUUAAUCGAUGGGGGGACGCAGUAGGAUAGGCGAAGCGUACGAUUGGAUUGUACGUCUAAGCAGUGAGAUUGAGUGUUAGGCAAAUCCGGCACUCUUAAGAUUGAGCUGUGAUGGGGAGAGGAAAUUGUUUCCUCGAGUCGUUGAUUUCACACUGCCGAGAAAAGCCUCUAGAUAGAGAUUAGGUGCCCGUACCGCAAACCGACACAGGUAGUCAAGAUGAGAAUUCUAAGGUGAGCGAGCGAACUCUCGUUAAGGAACUCGGCAAAAUGACCCCGUAACUUCGGGAGAAGGGGUGCUCUUUAGGGUGCAAGCCCAGAAGAGCCGCAGUGAAUAGGCCCAAGCGACUGUUUAUCAAAAACACAGGUCUCUGCUAAACCGUAAGGUGAUGUAUAGGGGCUGACGCCUGCCCGGUGCUGGAAGGUUAAGAGGAGUGGUUAGCUUCUGCGAAGCUACGAAUCGAAGCCCCAGUAAACGGCGGCCGUAACUAUAACGGUCCUAAGGUAGCGAAAUUCCUUGUCGGGUAAGUUCCGACCCGCACGAAAGGCGUAACGAUUUGGGCACUGUCUCAACGAGAGACUCGGUGAAAUCAUAGUACCUGUGAAGAUGCAGGUUACCCGCGACAGGACGGAAAGACCCCGUGGAGCUUUACUGUAGCCUGAUAUUGAAAUUCGGCACAGCUUGUACAGGAUAGGUAGGAGCCUUUGAAACGUGAGCGCUAGCUUACGUGGAGGCGUUGGUGGGAUACUACCCUAGCUGUGUUGGCUUUCUAACCCGCACCACUUAUCGUGGUGGGAGACAGUGUCAGGCGGGCAGUUUGACUGGGGCGGUCGCCUCCUAAAAGGUAACGGAGGCGCUCAAAGGUUCCCUCAGAAUGGUUGGAAAUCAUUCAUAGAGUGUAAAGGCAUAAGGGAGCUUGACUGCGAGACCUACAAGUCGAGCAGGGUCGAAAGACGGACUUAGUGAUCCGGUGGUUCCGCAUGGAAGGGCCAUCGCUCAACGGAUAAAAGCUACCCCGGGGAUAACAGGCUUAUCUCCCCCAAGAGUUCACAUCGACGGGGAGGUUUGGCACCUCGAUGUCGGCUCAUCGCAUCCUGGGGCUGUAGUCGGUCCCAAGGGUUGGGCUGUUCGCCCAUUAAAGCGGUACGCGAGCUGGGUUCAGAACGUCGUGAGACAGUUCGGUCCCUAUCCGUCGUGGGCGUAGGAAAUUUGAGAGGAGCUGUCCUUAGUACGAGAGGACCGGGAUGGACAUACCUCUGGUGUACCAGUUGUCGUGCCAACGGCAUAGCUGGGUAGCUAUGUAUGGACGGGAUAAGUGCUGAAAGCAUCUAAGCAUGAAGCCCCCCUCAAGAUGAGAUUUCCCAACUUCGGUUAUAAGAUCCCUCAGAGAUGAUGAGGUUAAUAGGUUCGAGGUGGAAGCGUGGUGACACGUGGAGCUGACGAAUACUAAUCGAUCGAAGACUUAAUCAAUUU
rnacentral:rRNA from 1 species